rnacentral:tRNA from 1 species
AGGAAACUUCCAUGGUUGGUAAGAUGGGUUGAGCUGUAAACUCAAUAGUAUUGUACUUUUAAGAGUUCGAAUCUCUUGUUUCCUA